GCCGGGAUGAUGGAAUUGGCAGACAUGAGAGACUUAAAAUCUCUUGCUCAAAAGAGCGUGCCGGUUCGAGUCCGGCUCCCGGCA
rnacentral:tRNA from 1 species